rnacentral:rRNA from 1 species
AUUGAACGCUGGCGGCAGGCCUAACACAUGCAAGUCGAGCGGAUGAAGGGAGCUUGCUCCUGGAUUCAGCGGCGGACGGGUGAGUAAUGCCUAGGAAUCUGCCUGGUAGUGGGGGAUAACGUCCGGAAACGGGCGCUAAUACCGCAUACGACCUGAGGGAGAAAGUGGGUGAUCUUCGGACCUCACGCUAUCAGAUGAGCCUAGGUCGGAUUAGCUAGUUGGUGGGGUAAAGGCCUACCAAGGCGACGAUCCGUAACUGGUCUGAGAGGAUGAUCAGUCACACUGGAACUGGGACACGGUCCAGACUCCUACGGGAGGCAGCAGUGGGGAAUAUUGGACAAUGGGCGAAAGCCUGCUCCAGCCAUGCCGCGUGUGUGAAGAAGGUCUUCGGAUUGUAAAGCACUUUAAGUUGGGAGGAAGGGCAGUAAGUUAAUACCUUGCUGUUUUGACGUUACCAACAGAAUAAGCACCGGCUAACUUCGUG